rnacentral:rRNA from 1 species
UAAUACGAAGGGUGCUAGCGUUGUUCGGAAUGACUGGGCGUAAAGGGUGCGUAGGCGGUAAGAUGCGUCUGAUGUGAAAUCCCUGGGCUUAACCUAGGAACUGCAUUGGAUACGGUCUUACUAGAGUCCGCGAGAGGAAGAUGGAAUUGUGCGUGUAGAGGUGAAAUUCGUAGAUAUGCACAAGAACACCGGUGGCGAAGGCGAUCUUCUGGAGCGGUACUGACGCUAAGGCACGAAAGCGUGGGGAGCAAACAGGAUUAGAUACCCUGGUAGUCCACGCUGUAAACGAUGAUUAUUAGAUGUCGGGAGGGUUACCUUUCGGUAUCGCAGCUAACGCAUUAAAUAAUCCGCCUGGGGAGUACGGUCGCAAGAUUAAAACUCAAAGGAAUUGACGGGGACCCGCACAAGCGGUGGAGUAUGUGGUUUAAUUCGAAGCAACGCGCAGAACCUUACAACCCUUGACAUGGGACGUAUGAGCUUCAGAGAUGGAGUUCUUCACUUCGGG